rnacentral:rRNA from 1 species
CCCUUAGAUGUUCUGGGCCGCACGCGCGCUACACUGACGAUGGCAACGAGUUUUUCCUUCGCCGAAAGGUGUGGGUAAUCUUUUGAAACAUCGUCGUGCUGGGGAUAGAUCAUUGCAAUUUUUGAUCUUGAACGAGGAAUUCCUAGUAAGCGCGAGUCAUCAGCUCGCGUUGAUUACGUCCCUGCCCUUUGUACACACCGCCCGUCGCUACUACCGAUUGGAUGGUUUAGUGAGGACUCCUGAUUGGCGCCGCCGCCCCGGCAACGGAGCAGCGGACUGCCGAAAAGUUGUUCAAACUUGAUCAUUUAGAGGAAGUAAAAGUCGUAACA